rnacentral:misc_RNA from 1 species
GAUGAAGAACGCAGCGAAAUGCGAUAAGUAAUGUGAAUUGCAGAAUUCAGUGAAUCAUCAAAUCUUUGAACGCACAUUGCGCCCCUUGGUAUUCCGAGGGGCAUGCCUGUUCGAGCGUCAUUAUAACCCCUCAAGCUCAGCUUGGUGUUGGGGCCUGCUGCACUGGCAGCCCUUAAAAUCAGUGGCGGCGCCAUCUGGCUCUAAGCGUAGUAAUUCUUCUCGCUAUGGAGUCCUGGUGGAUGCUUGCCAUCAACCCCCAAUUUUUCUAUGGUUGACCUCGGAUCAGGUAGGGAUACCCGCUGAACUUAAGCAUAUCAAUAAGCGGAGGA